rfam:Ictidomys tridecemlineatus contig127512, whole genome shotgun sequence.
GGGGUUGUGGCUCAGUGGUAGAGCGCUUGCCUUGCAUGUGUGAGGCACUGGGUUCAAGUCUCAGCACCA